GUAGCCAAGGGGGUGGGUGCAAGCCUUCUGCGCCUAUGAGAGCCAGUAGGAACCCCAGGGACAGGCAGACAGCAGCCGGGUGGCUGGAGGCAGCUGCCUUCCUAGGCAGACAGCUGCCUAGCAGGGGGUCUCUGUCGGAGGUGGCAGGGGGACUUUCCCUCUGGCCAUGCGUCCAUCCAGCACAAAGCCUGACCUUGGAGAAGGCAGACCACCUUUCAGAGCAGCCUUUUUCACUCUUUGUAUUGGCCCCAGGCUGGUAUCUCUGUGGACCCCCUUACUCCCAAGCGCUGGUGAAUCUGAGUUUAAGAGUGAUGUUUCUAGCUCAGUCUGCAGGUUCUGCUCGGCACCGCCCAGCACCAAGCACUGGGCUGGGUAAGAAAGCAGUGAAAGGGUUUGCUUCCCGUGCUCAGAUAGAGGGAGAUGCAGACUUGGGAGCCGAGGGCCGAGAGACAACAGACGGAAGUUGGGCAAACUCCAGGAAGCAGGGAAGAUGCUGUGGGCUUGCAUACGUUAGGGCUGUGUUUUUCUCCCUGUGCCCCAUGGGAGACAUUUGUGCCGUUGAACUGAACAGGACAGUUUUCUCUUACACGUGCCUGCCAGGGAGAGGGAGAAGGUGCUUAGGCUUACAAGGGAGCUCAGCGUGGCAGCAGAACCAGGAGUUCCAGGAAGCAGGGCGCGCUCCCUCAUACUGGGUCAGGGCUGGACCAGAACUAAAGUGCUUGCUACAGGCUGCCUCAAGUCUGGCUGUACAGUCCAGGGUGCUGCCAAACACCCCCCCACACCAGCAAUUCAUUUGGUUUACCUCCUGCCAGCACCAGGAUCCAUGAUCCCUGAGUUUGUACCAGACAAGACCUGCAAACUCAACUACCUUACAGAAGGCAAUAGCCUCAAUGUCAAGGUCCAGAAAUUAGGUAUGUGACCCAGUGAUGUCAGCCAAUUCAACAACUGGCAAAUACGUUUUGAAGCUUUUGGAAAUGCUAUUAGAAUCCUGGUCUCCGCAUUCAAAGGGGAUUCUACUCCAGUGGCAGAAACAAGGCUCAUGCAUGCUUUUUGUUGUUGAUGUUGUUUAUUUUUUUUCUUUGAAGGGCAGAGUUUCAAAGAAUCAGAAGCAGGGGGG
rnacentral:lncRNA from 1 species